AUUGAACGCUGGCGGAAUGCUUUACACAUGCAAGUCGAACGGCAGCAUAGGUGCUUGCACCUGAUGGCGAGUGGCGAACGGGUGAGUAAUACAUCGGAACGUGCCCAGUCGUGGGGGAUAACGUAGCGAAAGUUACGCUAAUACCGCAUACGAUCUAAGGAUGAAAGCGGGGGACCGUAAGGGCUCGCGCGAUUGGAGCGGCCGAUGUCAGAUGAGGUAGUUGGGGAGGUAAAGGCUCACCAAGCCGACGAGCUGUAGCUGGUCUGAGACGACGACCAGCCACACUGGGACUGAGACACGGCCCAGACUCCUACGGGAGGCAGCAGUGGGGAAUUUUGGACAAUGGACGCAAGUCUGAUCCAGCCAUUCCGCGUGCAGGACGAAGGCCUUCGGGUUGUAAACUGCUUUUGUACGGAACGAAAAAGCUCUUACUAAUAUUAGGAGUCCAUGACGGUACCGUAAGAAUAAGCACCGGCUAACUACGUGCCAGCCGCCGCAGUAA
rnacentral:rRNA from 1 species